rnacentral:rRNA from 1 species
GACGAACGCUGGCGGCGUGCUUAACACAUGCAAGUCCAACGGAAAGGCCCUGCUUUUGUGGGGUGCUCGAGUGGCGAACGGGUGAGUAACACGUGAGUAACCUGCCCUUGACUUUGGGAUAACUUCAGGAAACUGGGGCUAAUACCGGAUAGGAGCUCCUGCUGCAUGGUGGGGGUUGGAAAGUUUCGGCGGUUGGGGAUGGACUCGCGGCUUAUCAGCUUGUUGGUGGGGUAGUGGCUUACCAAGGCUUUGACGGGUAGCCGGCCUGAGAGGGUGACCGGCCACAUUGGGACUGAGAUACGGCCCAGACUCCUACGGGAGGCAGCAGUGGGGAAUAUUGCACAAUGGGCGGAAGCCUGAUGCAGCAACGCCGCGUGCGGGAUGACGGCCUUCGGGUUGUAAACCGCUUUCGCCUGAGACGAAGCGUGAGUGACGGUAAUGGGUAAAGAAGCACCGGCUAACUACGUG